CUGCAUCUGUUUUGCAGAAGGUGGCCUCUUCCUCUUCUAGAAGUCUGUAGGCUUUAUCCUUGGAGACUUCUCUAGACCCCUCUUGAUGCAAUGGCAUGUUUUAGACACUUAGAAAACAGCGUCUAGAUAAGGGAAGUCAGGCACUGUUCUCCAUUUGUCUUCAUAUCUCCAGACGUUUCGUGUGUCCCAUUCCUCUUCUGCUGCCUUCACUACAUAGUUUAAAAGAAAAGAAUAGGGACCUGCCAGCUACGGUGAAUAUUAAUCAUUUGUUUGUUUUAGGUCUGACUCUAUCUCACAA
rnacentral:lncRNA from 1 species